UGGUAACAGGAAACAGCUUGCUGUUUCGCUGACGAGUGGCGGACGGGUGAGUAAUGUCUGGGAAACUGCCUGAUGGAGGGGGAUAACUACUGGAAACGGUAGCUAAUACCGCAUAACGUCGCAAGACCAAAGAGGGGGACCUUCGGGCCUCUUGCCAUCAGAUGUGCCCAGAUGGGAUUAGCUAGUAGGUGGGGUAACGGCUCACCUAGGCGACGAUCCCUAGCUGGUCUGAGAGGAUGACCAGCCACACUGGAACUGAGACACGGUCCAGACUCCUACGGGAGGCAGCAGUGGGGAAUAUUGCACAAUGGGCGCAAGCCUGAUGCAGCCAUGCCGCGUGUAUGAAGAAGGCCUUCGGGUUGUAAAGUACUUUCAGCGGGGAGGAAGGGAGUAAAGUUAAUACCUUUGCUCAUUGACGUUACCCGCAGAAGAAGCACCGGCUAACUCCGUGCCAGCAGCCGCGGUAAUACGGAGGGUGCAAGCGUUAAUCGGAAUUACUGGGCGUAAAGCGCACGCAGGCGGUUUGUUAAGUCAGAUGUGAAAUCCCCGGGCUCAACCUGGGAACUGCAUCUGAUACUGGCAAGCUUGAGUCUCGUAGAGGGGGGUAGAAUUCCAGGUGUAGCGGUGAAAUGCGUA
rnacentral:rRNA from 1 species